UACGAAGGGGGCUAGCGUUGCUCGGAAUUACUGGGCGUAAAGCGCACGUAGGCGGCCAUGAUAGUCAGAUGUGAAAGGCCUGGGCUUAACCCGGGAACUGCAUUUGAUACUGCAUGGCUAGAGUCCAAGAGAGGGUAGUGGAAUUCCCAAGUGUAGAGGUGAAAUUCGUAGAUAUUGGGAAGAACACCAGUGGCGAAGGCGGCUACCUGGCUUGGAACUGACGCUCAGGUGCGAAAGCGUGGGGAGCGAACAGG
rnacentral:rRNA from 1 species